rnacentral:rRNA from 1 species
AGGGAAGCAAAGCCGCGAGGCAGAGCAAAACCCUAAAAACGGUCUCAGUUCGGAUCGCAGGCUGCAACCCGCCUGCGUGAAGUUGGAAUUGCUAGUAAUCGCGGAUCAGCAUGCCGCGGUGAAUACGUUCCCGGGUCUUGUACACACCGCCCGUCACACCAUGGGAGCCGACAACGCCCGAAGUCAGUGACCUAACCGAGAGGGAGGAGCUGCCGAAGGCGGGGUUGGUAACUGGGGUGAAGUCGUAACAAGGUAAC